rnacentral:lncRNA from 1 species
GGGUUCGCGUCGCGCCCGAGACCGGAGAUCGCUCUCUUGAGAACUGCGUAAAGAGGACACGAGUAGGAAUACCAACCGGUGAGAGAGGAAUUUGAUCGGGAGGCAAGACUUACCUCACGUGGGUUCAUCAUACGCUCGAGCUGCUAGCGUGGGCACCCUCUUAUAUCACUAAGAAUGCCACCUAGCCUGAGGGCGGUUCAAAAUCUCUUCCCUUGACCUGUUUCUUCCUUCCUGCACACACACACAUUAGAGGUCCAGACAAGUGAGUCAGAAGACCUCGCCUUGUCUUUGGGUGAAUGCACACAAGUGUGUACAUUCAAAGGGAAAAUGGGAGAAUGGUGCCAUUGAGUCCAUGUCAAUUUGACAGCUUUUCAGCAUCUUCUUAACAGGGGACUCACGACAACGUUCCUUAAUAGAGAAUGAGGGAAAGGCGAUGAGAUGGAGAGAAUGAGAGAGGGAAGAAAAGAGUUAAGAGACAAAAAGAGAAAAGAAUAGAGAGAAACGAGAAACGAAGACCAGUUUGGCUUUCACCUAGUUCUUUAGAAAGAGAGAGGAAAUGUAAAGAGAGAAAAGAGAGACGAAGCCUAAUUUGGUUUUAACCUAUUCCUUUAGAGAGAAGAGAGAAGAAAGUAGAGAGAGAGAAAAGAGAGACGAAGGUUAGUUUGGUUUUCACCUAACUCUGCAGAGACAGAGAGAAAAGGAAGUAGAGAGAGAGAAAAGGGACACAGGCUAGUUUUGUUUUCACCUAACUCUUCAGAGAGAGAGAAAAGAAAGUACAGAGAGAAAGAUAAUGAAGGUUAGCUUAGCUUUCACUAAUCCUUCCAAAAGAGAGAAGAGAAGAUAAUGAAGGCUAGUUUGGAUUUCACCUAGUCUUUUAGAGAGGGAGAAGAGAGAGGGUGAAAUAAGAAAGAGAGUGGAAGAGAGAGAAGAAGAAGAAGAAAGAGGGAAGAGGGAAGAGAGAAGAAGAGAAGAGAGAGAAGAGAAAGAGGAAGAAAGAGAAAAGAAGAGAGAGAAGAAUGAAGAAAGAGAGGAGAGAGAAAUGUUGGGGAUGGCGGGUAGACCUUGCCGUCUUAAGGGGAAGAGAGACAAAAGAGAGAAGAAAAAGAGAGGUUGGGUACGGCAACAGACCCUGUCGUCUCAGGGGAGUGAGAGAGUUUGAGAUGACAAUAGACCUUACUGUCCCAAAAAGGUGAGAGAAGAAGAAAGUUUAAGUAUGGGACAACGGGUAGGACUUCCAUCCCAAAGAGGUGAGAAAAGAUGAGAGAGAAAGUUUUAGAUAGCGGGUAAGACGGUCAUCCCAGAGAGGAGAGAGAAGAAGAGAGAGAAAGUUUGGGACAACAGGUAAGACUAUCGUCCCAGAGAGGUGAGAGAAGAAGAGAGAAAAUUUGGGAUGGCUGGUAAGACUGCCGUCGCAGAGAUGAGAGUGAAGAAGAAAGAAAAAAAAGGAAAAGAAAAGAAAAGAAAAGAAAAAGAUAGGGGCGGCAGCUGAGCUGCCACUUGGGAAAAGGCUCAGCUUGCCAUCCCAGUCAAGGGAGAAAGGAGAAAGAAAGAUAGGGGUGGCAGCUGAUCCGGCCACUCGGGAAAGGGCUUAGCCUGCCAUCCCAGUCAAACGAGGAGAGAAGAUAGAAAAGAAAGAUGACAGAGGUGGCAAUUGAGUCCGUCACUCGAGAAAGGGCUCAGGCGGCCAUUCUAGUCAAGAGAGAGAAAACCAGGGAGGAAAAGAGAGAAAAAAAAGAAGAAGGCAAGGAAAGGAGAGAAGAAGAAAGAGAAAGGAAAGAAGAAGAGAGAAAGGAAAGGGAGAGAAGAGAAAAAGGAAAGAAGAAGAUAGAGAAAAGGAAAGAAGAAGAGAGAGAAGGAAAGAAUUAGAGAGAAAAAAGAAAGAAGAAGAGACAAAAAGGAAAGAGAGGGAAGAGAAAAAGAAUGAAGAAGAGAGAGAAAAGGAAAGAAGAAGAGAGGAGAGAGAAAGAGAGAGGAGAGAGACAGAGAGAAGAGAGAGAAAGAAGAGAGAGAAGAUAUGAGAGAGAGAAGAGAGGUGAUAAAGAUGGCGGCUGAGCCUGUUGCUUGGGAAAGGGCUCAGGCUGCCGUCUCAAUCAGGGGAGAGAAAGAAAGAAAGGGAGUACAAAAAUGAUAGAGACAGGGGCUAAGCCGGCCACCUAGAAAAGGGCUCAGGCUGUCAUCUCAGUCAAGAGAGAGAGGAUAGGAGAGAGAGAACAAAGAUGACGGAGACGGUGGUUGAGCCCACCGCUUGGGAAAAGGUUCAGGUUGCAGUCUCAAUCAGGAGAGAGAAAGAUAAGAAGAAAGAGAGAGAGAAGAGGAGAGAGAAUGUUACCUAAAUGGGUCUCAAGGGUACCAGUUAAAGUUUUCCCUCUUGUCUCUUUCUCUCUCCAAGAGGGGAAAACAUGACCCAAAAAUUAAACACAAGCCAAAUUUUUCAAUUAAUCAAAGGGGUCAUUCCAAUGUUUACAUCACGUGCAUUUAUAGAGGGGUCAUCCAAACAUGGGUGGAUGCCCAAUAGUUGACCUAAUUGUUAAAAAAUAGCAUUUAAAUGAAUUAACUAAAAAAAAGAAAAUAGAAGUAAGAUGACGAUUUUGCCCCAUGCUCACAAUUUUUGAAAUUUCGAUUUAGUCCCUAUCAUGGCCAUGCAACACUUACUAUCUUUCAUAGCUCAUUUGGGGUCUUUCUAGCCUCUAUCUGGCCAAAAGAAUUUUGCUUUCUUG